rnacentral:tRNA from 1 species
GGUAAGGCAGCGGGUUUUGAUCCCGCCAUCCGUUGGUUCGAAUCCAGCCGCCCCUGCCA